rnacentral:rRNA from 1 species
GUGAGAAUGUUGGCAUGAGUAGCGAGAUGUGGGUGAGAAUCCCACAGGCCGUAAACCCAAGGUUUCCAGGGGAAGGUUCGUCCGCCCUGGGUUAGUCGGGACCUAAGCUGAGGCCGAAAGGCGUAGGUGAUGGACAACAGGUUGAUAUUCCUGUACUACCGAUAACCGUUUGAGAGAAGGGAUGACACAGUAGGAUAAGCUAAGCACACUGUUGGUUAUGUGUGCCCAAGCAUUGAGGCAGUCAAAGUAGGCAAAUCCGCUUUGAUAAUGCUGGGAUGUGAUGGGGAGCGAAAUUUAGUAGCGAAGUAGCUGAUUUCACACUGUCAAGAAAAGUCUCUAUCGAGGUUAAAGGUACCCGUACCGCAAACCGACACAGGUGGGUGAGGAGAGUAUCCUAAGGCCA